rnacentral:rRNA from 1 species
CAGCCGCCGCGGUAAAACGAAGGGGGCUAGCGUUGUUCGGAAUUACUGGGCGUAAAGCGCACGUAGGCGGACUUUUAAGUCAGGGGUGAAAUCCCGCAGCUCAACUGCGGAACUGCCUUUGAUACUGGGUAUCUUGAGUAUGGAAGAGGUUAGUGGAAUUGCGAGUGUAGAGGUGAAAUUCGUAGAUAUUCGGAAGAACACCAGUGGCGAAGGCGACUGACUGGACAAGUAUUGACGCUGAGGUGCGAAAGCGUGGGGAGCAAACAGGAUUAGAUACCCCUGUAGUCCCUGUUUCUUAUAC